rnacentral:tRNA from 1 species
GGAGAUGUGGCUGAGUGGUAGAGCUCUUGCCUUGCAUGCACAGAGCCCUGGGUUUGAUCUCUAGCACCACCA